UUUUACUACUUACCCUAACUUCACAGGGACUUCUUUAGAUGUGUACGGUUGUCAGAUCAGAAGAUUAAAAUCAAAAGCGUUAACUGAGAAAUCCCUCACAACAACAUGAUGGCAAGUUGAUUUCCUCUUGUAUGGCAACUUCAUAGACUGGGAGUGGCUUCUUGGAGCACAAUAUUGAAAAAGAUAUUAAAGCCAUAUGUGGUCUCGGUGGCAUAUGGUGCUGUGAUCUACUAAGGAUGGGGAAGAAUGCAUGGUGCUCUAAAUGCUAUGUGUUGCUCCACUCAGAAUUAGCAAAUAUGACCCAGUGGCUGUCUUGAUGUCUCACAGCAGGAAGAGACUCUCUCAAAUAGGUGUACACAUGGGGAGAGAGAGAGCAAGGAGACUGAGAUACAAUCAGCCACCAGCAAGUUGUCUUGAUUUUCUGAAUGGAGCGUGGUAGCAUGUUAUAGAGUCCAAGGAAUUUGCCAAAUCCGUGUGAGAAGAUUUGCCUCUCACAUGUGAGAGAAUUUUUUGAGAAAAAAAAGAUCCUGACCCCGUCCCUCUGCCACCACCCGAGUGAGGAAGACUGACAGAGCACAUUGGCUUGCUGUGGAGACAAGAUCAGGGAAAGCGCCCCUGAAAAGAAAGCAUUUUGGAAGUCCUGAAGGUGGAGAAGGAGAUUUAGAGGAAGAGUGAUAAAUCAGAAGUCUUCGUCCAAGAAUUAGCUUUGCACCAUCUACAGACCUAAGCAGCUGCAGUCCUGGAACUGUGUGAUAACUUGCCCAGAAAAUCUUCUUGUGGAAUCUGUCUUUACAUGGAAAAGACUUGGCAAUAUUUGUACAGCAACUGGAAGAAAGGUCUUUGCUGAGAUAUACAAAGAGGCAGAAUGUGUGUGGAUCACCGAUUAGACAAGGCGAAUAGGAGCAGAAUAGAAGAGGAAUGGAAUAGAACUCAAGGGUGAGCCAGCUUCGGGAUUGCAACUGAGAAGUGGGACUAUUAAAAGAAAGUCAUGCCCAGGUGGCUCACCAAGCUGGAGAAGGGACAAGAGACCUCUGGAGCUUCGCCUUUAUAGCUGAUUGCUUUUUGAAUCCCAGCCAUCCCAGCCUCCACAGUCUGAAGCAGAAACAUCUCAUCCAAACUGCAUUUGUGUGAGCAAGAAAUAAAUGCAGACAGUUAUAUGCCAAGGAGAUUUUAUAGUUGCUUGUUAUGUAAUAACAAUGACUAAUAGAGAAAUGAUUGAAGAGUACUGAAUCACAACAUUACUAGCUCAACCUGCUCCCCAGAAAAUUGCUAAUAAAGACAAUAAUAACAAGAAUUCCCUCUUAUUAAUGCCUAUCAAAUGCCAGCAAUAACUAGAUGCUUUGCACAUUGUAAUCUCAUUUUAUCCUAGGAAGACAACAACUCUGUGAAGUUGGUGAUCUUAUCCCUAUUUCAUUCCCAGGAAAUUAGGAUUCAGAAAUGGCUUAUAGAUUUUCAGAGAUCACAAAGUUAAGAAGUAUCAAUUCCAAGCUUACAAACCAAAGACUUUAGACUAUAAAAUCCCUACCUGUUAGCUGGUGCCAAUGUGGCAAGAUUUACCUUUACUUCUCUUCAGCUUAUCUUUCCAUCAUUCCAUUCCCACAUUUCCACUCCCAUUCCCCAGCCCAUGUAAUUCCUAUUGAGUGCUGUAACUUUAUUCUAUUUAAUGCUAAGUUGUAAGGGCUCAGAAUUUAAGUUGCCUUUCAUGGUAUCCUAAUUUUGGUAGUAGGGAAUAGAUAGGCAUAGAUGGGGUGAAAAAAUGCGUUCAUAUAUUUGUAGAAUGCUCAUAGCAAAAAACAAAAUGAAGUUAUCUUAACUAUGUCAAAAGUUUUAGUGAAUCCAAAUAAUGUACACACAAAAAAAAUUUUAAAUAAAAGCAAGAGUUGCAUAAGAAACAAAUAUUUAGGAAGAAUUGGGAUGUCUAUCGCCACCCACAAAAUUAGAGAGUUAUUAUAUCCCCUGAUUGUAGAUCAGGAACAGUAGUCAAAGGGAUUAUUUGAAAAUGCAAAUCUGAUUAUGUCGCUUACAUUUUAAUAGGUAGAGACAGUCAGUAAUUGCUAUGGCCUGAAUGUUUGUGUCCUAAAAUUCAUAUGUUGAAACCUAAUUAUCAAAGUGAUGGUAUUAUCAUGUAGGCCUCUGGCAAAUGAUUUGAUUUUGAAGAUGGAGCCUGUAUGAAUGGGAUUAGCGUCCUUAUAAAACAGACACAAGGAAGCUCAUUGGCUCUUUCUACCCUGUGAGCAUGCAAAAAGAAGGUACCAAUUAUGAAGCAGAAUGUGGGUCCCCACGAGAUGCUGAAUCUGUUCAUACCUUGAUUUUAGAUCUUCCAGCCUGUGGAAAUGUGAGAAAUAAAUUUUUUUAAACCACGUAGUCUAUGGCAUUUGUUAUAGCAGCAUAUACAGAUUAAGGCAGUAAUUUUACAGAUUGGUAGGUUUUAGAAAGAGACACAGGUUUUGAGGAAACUUGUGUCCCUUUUGAAAAGGGUGUUCCAGACAUAAGGAAUAUUCAGUGCAAAGGUGUUAAGGCAAAAGAGUGUAUCUAAUAUUUUCCAGGAACGUUAAAGGCAGUAUGUCUGGAAAGAGUGCAUUGUUGUAGGAUAAUAGGAGAUAUUAUCAGAAAGAUAAGAAACAGACAGAUCACAUAAGGCCCUCCGGGUUAUUUUAAGGACUCUGGCUUUAUCCUGGAUGAAGUGGUGAAUGGUUACAAGGUUUUGGACAAGAAUAAACUGAGGGGAGAGUGUCAGAGUAGGAAUAGGGAGACAAGUUUUAAGGUUCAGACAAGGGAUUUAGAAAAAUAAAUGAGAAGAGGUAGUUGGAUUUUUUAUCUGUUUUGAAGAGAGCGUGAUUUCCAAAUAAAUUAGAGGUGGGAAUAAGAAAAACAGAGUUGAAAAUGACUGCAAUGUCUUAAGCCUGGGCAGUUGGAAGGAUUGUCACCUUAAACUAUGAUGGGGAAGGAGGUAGGUGGAUCACGUUUUGAGGGGGAAUAUUAGAAGUUCAGUUUUGGAUAUGUUUAUUUUACAUUGUAAGCAGAGAUUCAAGAGUGGAGAUAAAUUUAUAUACCUGGUGUUGGUGGGAGAUGAAGAUAUAGAUGUAGAUUUUGGAGUCAUUUGCAUACUGUUACAAACUAAGUCAUGAGAAACAUAAAAGAGUGAGUAUAGAAAGAAAAGAAAAGACAUGCAAACGGUAAGCCUAAAGUCCUCCAAUAUUAAGAUGUAUGAGACAUAAAGAGGAAUGCCAGGCUGCACUGGGAAUGAGUAACCAGUGAAGUAAGAGAAAAACCAGGCUUUAAUGUCCUUAAGCCCAAUCAAGAAAGUGUAUGAAGGAGAAGGAAUUGAUAGUCUGUACGUCCAGUGAGAUAACUGAACAUUGACUAUCACAGUUAGAAUCAUGGAGGUCAUUAAGAUCAUCGCUAGUAAAAGUUGUGGUGGGAUGAAUGCAUGGUGAAUAGAAAGGAAUUAGAAACAGUGUGUUUAGACAACCGUUACGGGAUUUCUGCUGUACCAGCUAGCCAAGAAAUGGAGCAGCAGCUAACGGGAAAGUAGGAUCAUGGGAAAAAAUGUGAUCGAUGAAGUAACAAUCAGCUGUUUGCUGAUGAGAAUGAUCCUCAAAGGAAGAAAACAAAUAAUGAUUUAGGAGAAAAAGAUAAGAAUUGCUGGCUGGGCCCGGGGUCUCACGCCUAUAAUCCCCACACUUUGAGAGGCCAAGGUGGGCGGAUCACUUGAGGUCAGGAGUUUGAGAACAGCCUGGCCAACAUGGUGAAACCCCAUCUCCACUAAACAUACAAAAAUGAGCUGGGCAUGGUGGCACACUCCUGUAAUCCCAGCUACUCGGGAGGCUGAGGCAAGAGAAUGGCUUGAACCUGGGAGGUGGAGGUUGUAGUGAGCUAAGAUUGCACCACUGCACUCCAGCCUUGGUGACAGAGCAAGACUCUGUCUCAAAAUAAAUAAAUAAUUGCUUCAAUGACAUCCUCAGAUGGAGAGAGUUGCUAGGGUGAUGUCCUUAACUAAGCAAAAGCAAAUGGAAGCUUAAGCACAAGUGGGGGAUUUGGCUGCAUACAGAAACAUAGGAAGUUUGUCUGUGGUAACUGGUUUGGUGUCAUUUGUUUAACAAAGUUCAACCCACACAACUGUACGGUCCUUCAGAACAGAAGACAGAAGCCCUGUCUGUCUUAUCAACCAUUUCAUGUCCAUGGCCUACAUAUUACCGGGCACUGAGUAGAAACUCAGCAUAUAGUUAUUGAAGAGGGAUGGACAGAUGAAUCAAUGUACACAUGGAUGAGCUUCACAUAGUAAAUAAGUCUCCUCCCACUUUUAGUGUAAAAGAUGCAGGUUCAUUGUUUAUUUGCAUUCUACAUAGAAGCCAAUGACGUGGUCUGAGCACUUAAAAGCAUUAUAUGAAAUGAACCAACCCAC
rnacentral:lncRNA from 1 species